rnacentral:rRNA from 1 species
UGAACGCUGGCGGCGUGCCUCAUACAUGCAAGUCGAGCGAACAGACGAGGAGCUUGCUCCUCUGACGUUAGCGGCGGACGCGUGAGUAACACGUGGAUAACCUACCUAUAAGACUGGGAUAACUUCGGGAAACCGGAGCUAAUACCGGAUAAUAUAUUGAACCGCAUGGUUCAAUAGUGAAAGACGGUUUUGCUGUCACUUAUAGAUGGAUCCGCGCCGCAUUAGCUAGUUGGUAAGGUAACGGCUUACCAAGGCAACGAUGCGUAGCCGACCUGAGAGGGUGAUCGGCCACACUGGAACUGAGACACGGUCCAGACUCCUACGGGAGGCAGCAGUAGGGAAUCUUCCGCAAUGGGCGAAAGCCUGACGGAGCAACGCCGCGUGAGUGAUGAAGGUCUUCGGAUCGUAAAACUCUGUUAUUAGGGAAGAACAAAUGUGUAAGUAACUAUGCACGUCUUGACGGUACCUAAUCAGAAAGCCACGGCUAACUACGUG